GACCAUUACACUUGAGAAAAUGGCCAAAGGGGAUGCUCAGAAGCUCUACUUCACUGUUCCAAUAUUUGAGACACAUCCUCCCUAGUACUUCAUCCACGCAAUUUCAGAUUCAUGGAUGCAUUCAGAGUGUUUCUAUACUAUGUCCUUCCGGAACCUCAUGCUCCCUGAGGCUCUUACAACUUAUAUGGAACUCCUUGACUUGAAACCACUUCCUGUGACUGCACUAGCAAAUGGAACUUAUGAAGAAUUGUACAGAUACAUACAUUUUAACCCCAUACAGACGAAGGCUUUUGAUGUGCUAUAUCACACGGACCAAAAUGGGGAGAAAAGAAGAUAAAAACAGAUAAAGAAGAAAAAAUGAAAAAAGAAAAAAAAAGAAGAGGAGAUAGAUCUGUGGAAAAAAAAGAAA